GAGUUUUGCCUCUCUCACUGGCAGCAACCCAGCGCUUCCAUUGCUGACCUCUACCGACCUCUACCUGUGGUCCUUCCUCUACUGCAGCAGAGACACUGUUUUCUUCCUUUGUUCUUCCAACCCCAUGGGGAAUAUCACAGAAGUGAAGUGCAAUUCUCAUCAUGUCAUAUCAAGAGCACACACUAACAAACAACAUGACUUAUUGCUGAAUAUUGAACUUGAUCACCUGGCUGAGGUGAAUAAACUGACACUGGAACAUUCAGGAACUUCUUCAUGGUCAUGGUCACCCAGCUAGAGUGUGGAAGCCAGGCUGUCUGAUUCCAGGAUCUGUGUUCUUAAUCCUAUACAUAAGGAAGCCAUAAUGAGUCAACCACUAUUUUUAAGAUUCACAGAUGUUCGGGUCCAAUUCACCAGAAUGCCAAGUUAUACAGGGUUGUGGAAUCAAAAACUGCAAUUAGUAAUAAAAUGUGAUGCUAUCUAGAAUGUUUUUCAUACAUAUAUAUGCUUCUUGGGACUCUCCCUGCAGGUUAAGAGAAAUUGAGAAACGAUGGAGAAUUUAAGUGUUUUAGAUCCUACAUACAUUAGACUUAAAAAUAGUAACUAUGUACAUGAGUAUUUGUAAACUUAAGAAUGAACAUAACAUGAACCAUGUGGCACCUAUAAAAUGAAAAUAAAAUACCUACAAACCAAAUGAGAGCAAUAAAAGAAGCUUUAAGGACUUUCACUUCAGGGAGUCUGAAUUAGAUGCGCUUCUUCCCAUUCCUCCCUCUAAUUACAACAAGCUUGGACGUUACAUACAGAACAAACAGAAGGAGUCUCUGAAAGAUGAAGAGAAGGCAAGUAAGCUACAGACUUCACAAUGUAAGGAAUAAUAUGGUGGUGAGUUACAUUUGUGAUUUUUUUUUGUCUCAUAUCCCAUAAUAUCUCAUAUCUCAUAAUCAGUUAGAAAGCACAAUGGAAAAGUAUUCCACUGCCAAUGGUGUUAGAGAACUGCUCACAAAUUCAACAGAAAUGCACAGAUACCAAAGCAGAAAGGACAAUAAACAAGAGUCUUCAUGGUCAAAAGAUUAGAAGCUGCAGCUUUCAAUGGGAGGGACAGGUUCUGGACCACACUGCAGUGCUUUUCUGCUUUCUGUGCUUUCCCACUCUAGAGCUGAAGAAGGUAACGACCCCAAAAUGUCAAUAUACGUAGACCAAAAACCAGCCCCAAUAAAAGUCUGCUCUCUCUAGCCAAAGGACUACAGUAGGGCAGCCCAGCAAGACAGAAAACCUUCAGACAACCUACCCCAGCCAAACACUACCAAAAAAAGUAAA
rnacentral:lncRNA from 1 species